CUCCACAAGCUCAGUCUGAGACAAACACCUGGGACGCCUCGGAAGACCCUGUAAAGUGCGGAGAUUGAGGGUACGAUUGGUCAUCAAUUUAUUGGAUCUUACUCUGAGUCCGGUUGGCCCAACCCCAGACUCCUCGAUCUCCUCCACCUCAUCCCCUCAGGGUCACAAAUGUUGAUUCACAAAAGACUUCUGUGAGGACAAACCAAAGAUGGAGGGCCGCAGCCGCCCGGACUCCCGCACUUCCAGUUUAGGUCCAGGCAGCAGACACAAAACCCUCUCCCCGGGGAACAACAAUGAGGAAGCUCAGGAAGAUGUGGCCGCCUGCUCUGCCUGCUGGCCCAGAGUGUUUGUUCCACAUGUUUGUCCCUGUCUGGAAUAAGAGCCACACAUAGCCCCCCUCACCCCUGCCACCGCACUCAGAAGAUAUAGCUUUAUGAUACUCUCGGUAAUGAGCUCUGGCCUUGAACUGAGUACACCCCAUGGAAUGACCUCCAGUAGCCUGGACCCUGUGAACAUCAGGACAUCACCAACUAACUGGCAAUCAUCGCAUUCCACCCCCUAACCCCACUUUCAUGGUUCACUUUCCUGAGUGACUUUUAGGUAUCCAAACAAAGAGUGUCCAGGGUUUAACUUACAUGCUUGUUGAACUCUUGUGGACAUGAGGGGAAACUAAAGAUCCUGAAGAGUGAGAAAAGACCCUUUCAUUUGUACUUAAGGAAAAUGAAGCAGGAAGGAUAAAAUGGCUCUCUUUUAGUUUUGAGAUUUCCCUUGCCAGGGCCCUUGACUACCUUAGAAAGCAUCCCUCUUAACCCUAUGUCUUGGCUUCCCACACCAGCAUCUGAACUGCAGGGAAACUUCAUUUGGCCAACUGCUCCCUCCCACUUCAUUCCAACUUAAAAAAAUAAAAAAGCUGUUUUCCCCUGAAAGAAACAAAGUUGAGGAAAUCAUCCAUGCCAUAUGCACAUAUUGGUCAGCGCUCCCUUCCAUCUGCUCUGGGGUUGCUCAGCGCGCCCCUUUUCUAAAGAAACUCAUUGAGGCAGGUGUGUGGUGUGUUUGGUGCCUGUGUGUGUGUGUGUGUGUGUGAUGUGAUGUGUGUGUGUGUAGCGUUCAUUUCUGUCAGACACCCCCCCAUCCAAUUAAUAGUCUUGAGCAAUUAAUAAGUGUCGUCUGACUUGACCCAAAGACUGGGCUUUUUAGCAAAGUUGAUUCCUCUUUCUCUGUUUUACUUCUUUUCCAGAGAGUGAUUGGUCACUCAUUUUCCAGCGGGUGGCAUAAUUGAAUUAACUGGCCACAGCACUCUGGUGACUAUUGCCUGGGGCCCCCUCCAACAGGGAACCCGUGGUGUGCAUUCCAGCCUCAGUCAGAGGCCAGGCCGGCGUCAGUCACUCAAAAUAGCCGGCAAGAGCAUGGUGGACACGCUGCUGGCCUUGCACCCCAAAAGCUGAAAAGGUUGUUCCUCAGCACUUAGUUCUCCUGUUCUUCCUUCUGGUUCCAUGCUCCACAUGCCAGGAAGGAAUGUCUUAUGGCAGUCACUUUAGGAAUCUGCAAAGAAAUCUUUAUAUAUAUAUAUAUCAUUAUUGUCUUGGUUAGAAUCCAGAGCUGGAAGAGUUUUGGGGUAGUUGCAAAUUCCUUCCUGGGCUUCUAGGCCAGCGUUAUACAAAUCAC
rnacentral:lncRNA from 10 species